UUCUGGUCUGCUGUGCUAUGCAGACGUGAACAAUGUUUGUGGAGCGGGACGUUGGGCAAUUGCAAAGGUCACAGAUGCUGAUCAAGGGCUGCCAAGUAUCCUGAAAGGCGUCUAAAGAAGCUGAUGAAUUGUUAGGUUCAUGUGCUUUUAUUUGCUCAGCAAGUCGAGAAGAAACACAAGAUCACACAGAAUCACACCUUGAUCCCAAGACUCAGAGACUUUGACUCAUAUGAAAGGGAAAGAGAGGAGGGGGACAGAUGGCUGGAGUUCUCCUGGGCAAGCAGCAUAUACCCCACUGAACACUGGAAGCUCUUGACCAUCUGGACCAAAAGCAAUGAGCAGCAUCUCUGGAUCACCCAGUGAGGAGACUUUUAAUGGAGAGGUCACUCAAAGUAAUGUCAACAAUACACAUUUAGUACAGCUCCCUGGCUGUAUGACU